rnacentral:rRNA from 1 species
CCGAUGCAAACUGCGAAUACCGGAGAAUGUUAUCACGGGAGACACACGGCGGGUGCUAACGUCCGUCGUGAAGAGGGAAACAACCCAGACCGCCAGCUAAGGUCCCAAAGUCAUGGUUAAGUGGGAAACGAUGUGGGAAGGCCCAGACAGCCAGGAUGUUGGCUUAGAAGCAGCCAUCAUUUAAAGAAAGCGUAAUAGCUCACUGGUCGAGUCGGCCUGCGCGGAAGAUGUAACGGGGCUAAACCAUGCACCGAAGCUGCGGCAGCGACACUGUGUGUUGUUGGGUAGGGGAGCGUUCUGUAAGCCUGUGAAGGUGUGUCGUGAGGCAUGCUGGAGGUAUCAGAAGUGCGAAUGCUGACAUAAGUAACGAUAAAGCGGGUGAAAAGCCCGCUCGCCGGAAGACCAAGGGUUCCUGUCCAACGUUAAUCGGGGCAGGGUGAGUCGACCCCUAAGGCGAGGCCGAAAGGCGUAGUCGAUGGGAAACGGGUUAAUAUUCCCGUACUUGGUGUUACUGCGAAGGGGGGACGGAGAAGGCUAUGUUGGCCGGGCGACGGUUGUCCCGGUUUAAGCGUGUAGGUGUGUGUUCCAGGUAAAUCCGGUUCACUUUAACACUGAGGCGUGACGACGAGGCACUACGGUGCUGAAGCAACAAAUGCCCUGCUUCCAGGAAAAGCCUCUAAGCAUCAGGUAACAUCAAAUCGUACCCCAAACCGACACAGGUGGUCAGGUAGAGAAUACCAAGGCGCUUGAGAGAACUCGGGUGAAGGAACUAGGCAAAAUGGUGCCGUAACUUCGGGAGAAGGCACGCUGACACGUAGGUGAAGUGAUUUACUCAUGGAGCUGAA